rfam:Ixodes scapularis strain Wikel colony gcontig_1108378276416, whole genome shotgun sequence.
AUACGUACCUUGUGCUGAGAAUCCCGUGGUCACGGUGGCGGUUUCUCCGGGGGGAGGCCUUCCACUUUACAGCGGUCGGCUGAGCCCUGCCACUUCCCCAAACGGGGGUAGCUGGAGCAUGGAAUUUUUGGUAGUGGGGACCGGCACUCGGGCCCGUCCCCU